GGAGCGGGUCUCCUGGAACGCGGUGUCGGCAUUGGAACGCAGUGUCGGUGCUGCAAGCUGCGCUACGGAACGCGCAGUGACGACCGCAAGUCCGAGCCGCGCGAAAAGAAAUUAUCAUCAUCAUGAGUAAUAAGAUGAAAAGUUUGCGCACACUUCCGGAAAAUGCUGGGCUACGACCGCCCAGCUUCACUGUUUCAAGCGUUGCGUGGCCGAGUGCAAGGUUAAGCGUUUUUUUCCCUCUAGGCAGUAAGAAACUCGAUGGUGGCAGGGAUGCGCUUGAGGAACUGUGGUAGUUGUGAAUGGGCAUUUAUUCCUGCAGUAGUAGUUCUGGCUGCUCGAAAAGCCAAAGAUAGUACGGCACUCUGCCUCCGGCUUGGAAAGAGUGGUUUCUAACCUGGCUAUUUCGAUCCAUAGGAUUGGAGUGCGACCAGUGUAUUUUUCCAGUGGUCUAAAUGUGUCAUACUCGAAACCAACUAGCCUAGCUUUCUGCCUUAACUAUGACUGGAGUGACCAGUCAUAGACAACAUGGUACAACUCAAU
rnacentral:lncRNA from 1 species